GCUCAAACUCACACAGUCAGUUGGGGUGGAUCUGAAUCCAGAACCCAUGUGUCUAGGCACCAACUUGCUGCCUUUGAGCUUUUUGGAUCACAAGCAAUAGCAAGAAAUACACCUGACAUUGCGACCCAGAACACAGACAGACACACACACACACACACACACACACAUCUGUACAAAGCAACAAACUUCCCCAAAGCAAUACUUACCCUACUUCUUGCCACGCACUCUGAUCAUUUCUAUUCUAUUUCAAUUUUUUAAAUGCAGGUCAUGAGCUAUGAAGUUGAUUUACUGACCCAUGAAUGGGUCACAACCCGCAGUUUGGAAACAGCUGGAUGGACCCCCACCUGUGCUUUCCAGCUUCUCCUAGAGCCUCAGGGCCCCAGGAAGGCAGUGUGGUCUCUGCAACCAGCUUCUAGAGACUUCUAGCAUACUUUGGCUUGUGGCAUCUUCCAUCUUCAAAGCCUACAGCAGUCAACUGAGUCCUUCUCACAUCACAUCUCCUCUUCUGACUCUCACGUUCCCUCUUCCACUUCAAAGGGUCCUUCCUUGUGACAAUGCUGGAUCACUCCUUACUUUAAGG
rnacentral:lncRNA from 1 species